AUGGUAGAGGCGAAAGGGCUUGUCUUCCUCUGCUGCCGCUGCUGCUGCUUCCCCUGGGUGACUGGCCAGAGGAGCCAGUGGCUCUCCUGGGUGCCAGAGGGAUGCUCACCCCCUCUGCAACCAAGGAAGGAGCAGGAGCCUCCCUGGCUUGCGCUUCACUAUGAGCUAAAUGCAGCCUUUUCAGAAAGAAUAAAAAAAAAAAAGGGAGGAGAAGCGCCAGCAUGGCCCAGACCAAGAGGCACACGUUGAGCCGGGUAAGUGUCAACCAGGGAGUGACCAGCUAGCUCCCAUGUGCAGGGGAGGUGGCCAGAACCUCGGCAGCUACAGGGUCUCCCAAUGCAAUCUGUUGCAAGAGAAGCAGGCUGUCAGAUGUGGUGGGGCAGCAAAGAGACAGAGAGAGAGAGAGAGAAAGGGAAAAGAGAAAUCAUGUUUUGUCAGCGAGUCCCUCGCCUCCAUGUCUUGUAGGGGAAGAGAGGCUGUGGGCUGGGCUGGUUUGACUGAGUGCCUGUGCUAGCCAAGCCCUUUAGGCUGAGAUUAGCCGCAGCUAUUUCUUGGUAAUUACUGCUGAUAGUGUAAUGAGGUGUUUGCCUGGCCUCUUGUAAUGGUGCAUUUUCCUGUCCCUUUGCUGUCUUCCCAGAGCAGCCACUCCGCCCCUCACACUCAGAAGAAGCUGGAGUGGUUUGCAGGAGGCCUGUAAGGGCCCAGAUGCCUCCUGUAUUGCAGGUAUUUGGGCACCCACGGUACCCUUAUCAGCAGAGCCAGGAUCUGGCCUCCCAAGGGAGCCUUUUCUCUAGAGUGCUGGAGGUCAUUUUGUUGGUGUCAUCCUUCCUUAGCACUUCCCGGGAGAAUGGCUGAGAUUCUCGAUGUUGGCCUAUCUGUUGCUUGAACAAGAGUGUUUUGGGUAGUUUGAGAGGGCUGAGUGGCUGUGGCUGUCUCUCGUAAACCUUGGAAGCAGCUUUCUGAGAUGACCUCUUAAGUUGCCCCUUGAAGGAAGCCCCUGCCCUCUUCUCUUUCUUGCGGCUGCUUCUCACGGUCGCUUUGCUGACAGACAGAC
rnacentral:lncRNA from 1 species